rnacentral:rRNA from 1 species
AUGGGUCGAUGCCUUCGCCGCCGCCGGCCGCGGGCGUCCCGCCGCGACGACCGGAUCAGCGCCCUCCCCGACGACCUCCUCCUUUCGGUCCUGCGCCGCCUCGACAUCCGGACGGCGCUCGGCACCGCGGCCCUCUCCAGGCGCUGGGCCCGCCUCAACCGCGAGCUCCCAGUCCUC